rnacentral:rRNA from 1 species
ACUCCUACGGGAGGCAGCAGUGGGGAAUAUUGCACAAUGGGCGCAAGCCUGAUGCAGCCAUGCCGCGUGUAUGAAGAAGGCCUUCGGGUUGUAAAGUACUUUCAGCAAGUGAGGAAGGCCGGGGUACGUUAAAUAGCGUGCUCGUUUUGACGUAGCUGCAGAAAGAAGCNCCGGGCUAACUCCGUGCCAGCAGCCGCGGUAAUACGGAGGGUGCGAGCGUUAAUCGGAAUUACUGGGCGUAAAGCGCAUGCAGGUGGUUUGUUAAGUCAGAUGUGAAAGCCC